rnacentral:rRNA from 1 species
UACGAAGGGGGCUAGCGUUGUUCGGAAUUACUGGGCGUAAAGCGCACGUAGGCGGAUCGAUCAGUCAGGGGUGAAAUCCCAGGGCUCAACCCUGGAACUGCCUUUGAUACUGUCGAUCUGGAGUAUGGAAGAGGUGAGUGGAAUCCCGAGUGUAGAGGUGAAAUUCGUAGAUAUUCGGAGGAACACCAGUGGCGAAGGCGGCUCACUGGUCCAUUACUGACGCUGAGGUGCGAAAGCGUGGGGAGCAAACAGG